GAUGAACGCUGGCGGCGUGCCUAAUACAUGCAAGUCGAGCGAACGGACGAGAAGCUUGCUUAUCUGAUGUUAGCGGCGGACGGGUGAGUAACACGUGGAUAACCUACCUAUAAGACUGGGAUAACUUCGGGAAACCGGAGCUAAUACCGGAUAAUAUUUUGAACCGCAUGGUUGAAAAGUGAAAGACGGGCUUGCUGUCACUUAGAGAUGGAGCCGCGCUGCAUUAGCUAGUUGGUAAGGUACCGGCUUACCAAGGCAACGAUGCAUAGCCGACCUGAGAGGGUGAUCGGCCACACUGGAACUGAGACACGGUCCAGACUCCUACGGGAGGCAGCAGUAGGGAAUCUUCCGCAAUGGGCGAAAGCCUGACGGAGCAACGCCGCGUGAGUGAUGAAGGUCUUCGGAUCGUAAAACUCUGUUAUUAGGGAAGAACGUAUGUGUAAGUAACUGUGCACAUCUUGACGGUACCUAAUCAGAAAGCCACGGCUAACUACGUG
rnacentral:rRNA from 1 species